rnacentral:lncRNA from 1 species
UCCUGGUGAUAUUUCGGUUCUAAACUAUACCGCUUUUCUGUUGAUAAAUAAUCUAGACUAUUUAUAUGGUUCAAUUUAGGUUUAUUUGGUUUUGUUCUGAUUUUACUUUAAUUAUGGUAUGGUUUGGAAUAUUAAAUAAAUCUGUUUUGUAAACACUGUGUAUUUAUAAAAAUAAUUUUCUACCCCUCAUGGUAACUCGUUUUCAAAGAAAAUAAAAGAUUUUCGUGUAGGAGACAGCUUUAAAAAGAUUUUCUCAGCUUUUCAUAAUUUUAGUAUUUCAAAAAUGAGUUUCUAGGUGGAAAAUAUUUUUAACUAAUAGUUGUGGAAUGUUGUGAAUCUUGUGAAUGUACAGUUGUGAAUGGAUGUAGUUGUGACUUGUACUAUGUGAGACGCCGUACAAAUACAGGAAAGAUUUUAUACACGUGGGCAGUGAAUUUUCUAUAUUUAUGGCAUGUCUGUCAUCCCUUGUGUCAAGAUUUUAGAAAAAAAAAAAAAAAACCUGGGGCAUUUUUU